CCAAGGAGUCUAGCGUGUGCGCGAGUCAUUGGGUGUAAAACCUAAAGGCGCAAUGAAAGUGUCAGGGGUGCCUCCUUUAGGAGCGCAUCCCGUUGGGAGGAUGGGCCRCCGUACGAUCACUCGUCGGAGCCCCGCACUCCCGGGGCGUCUCGUUCUCAUCACGAGUGGAGACGCACCAGGAGCGCACACGCUGGUACCCGAAAGAUGGUGAACUAUGCCUGGCCAGGACGAAGCCAGGGGAAACCCUGGUGGAGGUCCGAAGCGAUUCUGACGUGCAAAUCGAUCGUCUGAGCUGGGUAUAGGGGCGAAAGACCAAUCGAACCAUCUAGUAGCUGGUUCCCUCUGAAGUUUCCCUCAGGAUAGCUA
rnacentral:rRNA from 1 species